GACGAACGCUGGCGGCGUGCUUAACACAUGCAAGUCGAACGGAAAGGCACUGCUUUUGUGGGGUGCUCGAGUGGCGAACGGGUGAGUAACACGUGAGUAACCUGCCCUUGACUUUGGGAUAACUUCAGGAAACUGGGGCUAAUACCGGAUAGGAUCUCCUGUUGCAUGGUGGGGGGUGGAAAGUUUCGGCGGUCGGGGAUGGACUCGCGGCUUAUCAGCUUGUUGGUGGGGUAGUGGCUUACCAAGGCUGUGACGGGUAGCGGGCCUGAGUGGGUGACCGGCGACAUAGGGACUGAGGUACGGCACAGGCGCGUACGGGAGGCAGCAGGGGGGAAGAUUGCACCAUGGGCGGAGGCCUGAUGCAGAAACGCCGCGUGCGGGAUAGCGGCCUUCGUGUUAUAGAACGCCUGCGCCUGUAACGCAGCGUGAGUGACGGUAAUGGGUAGAGAAACAACGGCUAACUACGUG
rnacentral:rRNA from 1 species